rnacentral:sRNA from 1 species
GCCUUGCAAACAACUUAUAGCAGAACCUCUUAUUUAUAUAGGUCAGGGUUCCAGUUAUACAUGCUACCUAGUGUCUCCUUCUGACCUCAUUAUCUGUCUGAAUAAACUUCAGAUGGGUACUGGAUGUAUAUUGACUAUUGUCAAAUAAAAUGAACUUUGUUUUAGUUAAGGUCAGAUAUGAUGUGGUUGGUAUAGGUUUUGGAACAUGUUUUUUCAGGUUGCAUCUGGAGGUGGUGGGGUUGGAGAUGGUGUUCAAGAACCAACCACAGGCAACUGGAGAGGAAUGCUGAAAACUUCAAAAGCUGAAGAGUUAUUAGCAGAAGAAAAAUCAAAACCCAUUCCAAUUAUGCCAGCCAGUCCACAAAAAGGUCAUGCUGUGAAUCUGCUAGAUGUGCCAGUUCCUGUUGCACGAAAACUAUCUGCUCGGGAACAGCGAGAUUGUGAGGUUAUUGAACGACUCAUUAAAUCAUAUUUUCUCAUUGUCAGAAAGAAUAUUCAAGACAGUGUGCCAAAGGCAGUAAUGCAUUUUUUGGUUAAUCAUGUGAAAGACACUCUUCAGAGUGAGCUAGUAGGCCAGCUGUAUAAAUCAUCCUUAUUGGA